ACCAACAUAACCUUAUCAGUAGGCGUAACUUGACCAAGACAAGACAGGAUUCAGUUUCUUAGUUUUACCGAUUUUGAUAAUACAGUAAUACUUAGUUUUGACUCUUGUUCAUUCAAGGUUUGAGUUUAAGGUUCCUGUCAAUUUUUCUGAUUAUUCAAAUGGCGCAGUUCAAGUUGAAGUUUCUUCUCUGCCUGGCGUUUUGCUUGUUUGCUGCCUGUUUGGGAACUCGAACUUGUAGAGAGAAAAAAGACUGACGAUGAACAACUUACGAUGUAUCUUGUAUUACUUUCACUCAGAGAUGGGCUAAGUUACUUUCAAUAAAUGCUUAAGUUUUA